UGGGGAAUUUUGGACAAUGGGGAAACCCUUAUCCAGCCAUCCCGCGUGUGCGAUGAAGGCCUUCGGGUUGUAAAGCACUUUUUGCAGGAAAGAAACGUCAUGGGUUAAUACCCCGUGAAACUGACGGGACCUGCAGAAUAAGCACCGGCUAACUACGUGCCAGCAGCCGCGGUAAUACGUAGGGUUCAAGCGUUAAUCGGAAUUACUGGGCGUAAAGCGUGCGCAGGCGGUUCGGAAAGAAAGAUGUGAAAUCCCAGAGCUCAACUUUGGAACUGCAUUUUUAACUACCGGGCUAGAGUGUGUCAGAGGGAGGUGGAAUUCCGCGUGUAGCAGUGAAAUGCGUAGAUAUGCGGAGGAACACCGAUGGCGAAGGCAGCCUCCUGGGAUAACACUGACGCUCAUGCACGAAAGCGUGGGGAGCAAACAGG
rnacentral:rRNA from 1 species